rnacentral:rRNA from 1 species
GACGAACGCUGGCGGCGUGCUUAACACAUGCCAGUCGAACGGAAAGGCCCUGCUUUUGUGGGGUGCUCGAGUGGCGAACGGGUGAGUAACACGUGAGUAACCUGCCCUUGACUUUGGGAUAACUUCAGGAAACUGGGGCUAAUACCGGAUAGGAGCUCCUGCUGCAUGGUGGGGGUUGGAAAGUUUCGGCGGUUGGGGAUGGACUAGCGGCUUAUCAGCUUGUUGGUGGGGUAGUGGCUUACCAAGGCUUUGACGGGUAGCCGGCCUGAGAGGGUGACCGGCCACAUUGGGACUGAGAUACGGCCCAGACUCCUACGGGAGGCAGCAGUGGGGAAUAUUGCACAAUGGGCGGAAGCCUGAUGCAGCAACGCCGCGUGCGUGAUGACGGCCUUCGGGUGGUAAACCGCUUUCGCCUGUGACGAAGCGUGAGUGACGGUAAUUGGUAAAGAAGCACCGGCUAACUACGUG